rnacentral:rRNA from 1 species
GAUGAACGCUGGCGGCGUGCCUAAUACAUGCAAGUCGAGCGAACGGACGAGAAGCUUGCUUCUCUGAUGUUAGCGGCGGACGGGUGAGUAACACGUGGAUAACCUACCUAUAAGACUGGGAUAACUUCGGGAAACCGGAGCUAAUACCGGAUAAUAUUUUGAACCGCAUGGUUCAAAAGUGAAGGACGGUCUUGCUGUCACUUAUAGAUGGAUCCGCGCUGCAUUAGCUAGUUGGUAAGGUAACGGCUUACCAAGGCAACGAUGCAUAGCCGACCUGAGAGGGUGAUCGGCCACACUGGAACUGAGACACGGUCCAGCCUCCUACGGGAGGCAGCAGUAGGGAAUCUUCCGCAAUGGGCGAAAGCCUGACGGAGCAACGCCGCGUGAGUGAUGAAGGUCUUCGGAUCGUAAAACUCUGUUAUUAGGGAAGAACAUAUGUGUAAGUAACUGUGCACAUCUUGACGGUACCUAAUCAGAAAGCCACGGCUAACUACGUG